GACGAACCGUGCGAACGUUAUUCGGAAUCACUGGGCUUAAAGCGCGUGUAGGCGGGACGGCACGUCGGUCGCUGAAAUCCCCCGGCUUAACCGGGGAACGGGCGUCGAUACGACCGUCCUGGAGGGGCGUAGGGGGACCUGGAACUUCCGGUGGAGCGGUGAAAUGCGUUGAGAUCGGAAGGAACGCCCGUGGCGAAAGCGAGGUCCUGGACGCCUACUGACGCUGAGACGCGAAAGCCAGGGGAGCGAACGGG
rnacentral:rRNA from 1 species